rnacentral:rRNA from 1 species
UACGUAGGUGGCAAGCGUUGUCCGGAUUUGCUGGGUGUAAAGGGCGUGUAGGCGGGACUGCAAGUCAGAUGUGAAAAUUAUGGGCUCAACCCAUAACCUGCAUUUGAAACUGUAGUUCUUGAGUGAUGGAGAGGCAGGCGGAAUUCCGUGUGUAGCGGUGAAAUGCGUAGAUAUACGGAGGAACACCAGUGGCGAAGGCGGCCUGCUGGACAUUAACUGACGCUGAGGCUCGAAAGCGUGGGGAGCAAACAGG